rnacentral:rRNA from 1 species
GAUGAACGCUGGCGGCGUGCCUAAUACAUGCAAGUCGAACGCUGGAGAUCUAGCUUGCUAGAUCGAAGGAGUGGCGAACGGGUGAGUAAUACAUAAGCAACCUACCCACGAAGACUGGGAUAAUCUCUGGAAACGGGGACUAAUACCGGAUGGGUAAUCGGAAGGCAUCUUCUGGUUAUUAAAGGUUAAAAACACUGGUGGAUGGGCUUAUGGCGCAUUAGUUAGUUGGUGAGGUAACGGCCCACCAAGACGAUGAUGCGUAGCCGGCCUGAGAGGGUGAACGGCCACAUUGGGACUGAGACACGGCCCAGACUCCUACGGGAGGCAGCAGUAGGGAAUUGUCGGCAAUGGGGGCAACCCUGACCGAGCAACGCCGCGUGAGUGAAGACGGCCUUCGGGUUGUAAAGCUCUGUUGUAAGGGAAGAACGGUAGAUAGAGAAUAUCUAAGUGACGGUACCUUACCAGAAAGCCACGGCUAACUACGUG